UGCUAUUUAUACUGCAAGACGAGAUACAUGUCUCCAUCAGUGUGAAUUCAUCAUGCGUACGUUCAACGUUCUCGUCAUAUUUACUGUGCUAAUCGUAGCUUUAAAUUUUGCUACUGCUACUGCUGUAAGCUCGCCAGAUGCUUUUUACGGAGAGAGACCAUGUUACAUAAACGAAUGUAACGUAUACUGUUGUCGCACCGGAUACAGAUAUGGACGUUGUCUAGCGCCUACCGUUUGUCGGUGUUUUUAUGUGUAAUGUUCAAAUGAUAAAGGAAAUCUUGGUGUCGUAUUAUGUACAAAAGAUUCUGAAAAUAAAACUUUCAAGUGGAAAAGGUGAAA